GAGCGGCGGACGGGUGAGUAAUGCUUGGGAAUAUGCCUUAUGGUGGGGGACAACAGUUGGAAACGACUGCUAAUACCGCAUGAUGUCUACGGACCAAAGUGGGGGACCUUCGGGCCUCACGCCAUAAGAUUAGCCCAAGUGGGAUUAGCUAGUUGGUGAGGUAAUGGCUCACCAAGGCGACGAUCCCUAGCUGGUUUGAGAGGAUGAUCAGCCACACUGGGACUGAGACACGGCCCAGACUCCUACGGGAGGCAGCAGUGGGGAAUAUUGCACAAUGGGCGCAAGCCUGAUGCAGCCAUGCCGCGUGUGUGAAGAAGGCCUUCGGGUUGUAAAGCACUUUCAGUAAGGAGGAAAGGUUAAGUGUUAAUAGCACUUAGCUGUGACGUUACUUACAGAAGAAGCACCGGCUAACUCCGUGCC
rnacentral:rRNA from 1 species